UACACUGAAAUUGAACAGUAGAGUAUAUCUUAUCAAGUGCACAAAACAUUUACAACAUACUGGACCCUAUUAAAUAACCUUGUUUAUCAGCCAGCGAUAAAGCAAGCAACCAGGAACACAAAAGUUUCUAGGGGAUUAGCGAAGUGUUGGUCGAUCAAUCAAAGAACAAAUAGUUCAAUGGCAGUUUUUUUUUUUGGCAAACACGGCUUAAAAUAGGCCCGUUUAGCUUCAGUUUUCAUCUCUUCCUUUUGUCAGUCGCCCGCAGACCUACCAAAAUCGCAGAAAGUUGAUAAGUGCGACCCCCGAAGACCCGCAUUUGGCUGCCACCAACUGAUAAGGAACUACAUAUGUACAUACGCAUAUUAGAACCGCUUGGCUACAGUAAACAAAUUAGUACAAAGAUAAUUCAUUGGAUAUGCGGCGUGACUUAUGUAAAGAAAAUUAAAGAAGUGCCCUAAGAACAAGUUAGGGAACUGUUGCUUUCUUAUAAAAACGUGAGAAGUAUUGAAAUGCAGGUCUUCUUGCUAUUUUUAGUUUCUCCUUAGUAUGUUACCAAUAAUAUUCAAAACCAAAAUAUUUAUUAGGUUAGGUCAUAAAUAACAUACUGAAAAAACUUCUUGAGCUUAUAUUCGUAAAGUUUCCUGCGACUGAAGCAGAAUCAUUCUCGGAGAUCUUAUAGCAUGGGACCCCACUGUAAACAGUGCGUGUCCAAAGGAGGUGCGUCAAAUGGAUUUCCUGCUGCUGAUAAACCGAAAUACAGUUGCUUUUCAGACGGACUUUCUGCACCAGAGCCCGAAACUAAGGCCACGUAGUGCUUGGAUCGGCGAGAUGAGUGCCUGAGUGCUCGACUCUCUGCUUUUCGGCGGUGAUAAGUGGACGCGGCCAAUGGGCCACGCAGGCAGAUUCCGGAGCUGAGUGAUAACUAUCGGCCGUUCUGGCUGAUAAGCUCCACCAUAAUAGUGCGGUACGUACACACACACACACAGAUACACACGGUGGCAAUGCUACAAAUGCGCGUUCAGAAAUUUAAGCUGCUAUCAGUCGGAUUUCGAUUGGGUGAAAGGUUGGGAACUGGCGAAUGAGAAAGAGGGAUCUCAACCGAGGAGCAGCAGAGACAGAGACCAUGCACUUGUUCGACCAAAGCUGUUUUCUAAAUCAAUGCCCAACGAGUUUUCGUAGCCUACAUUUUCCUCUUCACCGAAAGAACAACAAAGAUAUGGCUGCCUCUUUAUUGAGUGUAUCUUUGUAUGUAUGGACAGAGGCUGUGGCAGGAUUUAUAAAAAGGGAUAAUUGCAGUUGUUGUAGGAGUCAUAAGCCUAGAAAAAACCCCCUUGUCGACGCCCCUGUGGGCGCUCAUGAAAAAUGUGUCAAAUGAAGAGAAAUGAAGAGCGCGAGAGCGACAGGGAUAGGAACAGUGAGAGGAGAGAACGACAGCUUGGCGAAGUAACUUAACGGAGCAGGGGAGCAGCUCCAAAUAAAACCGGAUGAUAGCCGGCAACUACAAGCAAACGAUCGAGUGCCAGUGGCGUAUAUGCAUGUGAGUGUGACUGUGAAUGUGUGCCUGCACAUUUCUGUGUCGCUCUUUUGCUUCUUCGGGAAUGCGGUUGUGUGUGUGUUGCCACCUUUCGAGAAGGCACAGGUAAAAAACGAAAACAAGCAACAUACCUACAUAGCAAAUACCAUCGUUCAUACGUUCGUAUGUGACGCCUGCAGCGACGCUGACGUCGACAAAUGAAGACAAAGCACAAAAACAAUGCGCUAAAGUUCAGUUUUAAA